rnacentral:rRNA from 1 species
GUUCUCAGUUCGGAUUGUAGGCUGCAACUCGCCUACAUGAAGUCGGAAUCGCUAGUAAUCGCGGAUCAGCAUGCCGCGGUGAAUACGUUCCCGGGCCUUGUACACACCGCCCGUCACACCAUGAGAGUUUGUAACACCCAAAGCCGGUGGGGUAGCCUUUUGGAGCCAGCCGUCUAAGGUGGGACAGAUGAUUGGGGUGAAGUCGUAACAAGGUACC